UACGUAGGGUGCAAGCGUUAAUCGGAAUUACUGGGCGUAAAGCGUGCGCAGGCGGUUUUGUAAGUUUGUCGUGAAAUCCCCGGGCUCAACCUGGGAAUGGCGAUGAAGACUGCAAGGCUAGAAUCUGGCAGAGGGGGGUAGAAUUCCACGUGUAGCAGUGAAAUGCGUAGAGAUGUGGAGGAACACCGAUGGCGAAGGCAGCCCCCUGGGUCAAGAUUGACGCUCAUGCAC
rnacentral:rRNA from 1 species